AUGGCUCACGGGGUGGUCACUACCCUGGCGCCACCUCCGGGCAAGGGUGCGUCCUCUGAUCUCGUCCUUACCCCUUCCUCACCAGUCAAUCAGCCGGUAGGACACGAGGAUAACUACCACCACACCUCGCACUCCAACUGGGCUCUGCCUAAACUGGAUUUUCCACUGUUUGAGGGCGAAAAUCCCCAAUUCUGGAAGACCAGAUGCGAGAAAUACUUCGCAGUCUAUGGGGUGCAGCCGGAUCUCUGGGUCCGUGUUGCUACACUGCAUUUUUCGGGUACCGCAGCACGAUGGCUUCAGGUUCAGGAAGCGCACAACACACACUUCACAUGGGAGGCGUUGUGUGCAGCUCUGUGCGCCAAAUUUGGUCGGGAGCAAUAUCAACAACAGUUGCGUCAGUUUACUCACUUGCGUCAGAUGGGUUCAGUAGUGGAGUAUAUGGAACAAUUUGAGGAGUUGAUGCAUCAUUUGCUAGCACAUAAUCCUUCCUUUGACCCGUUGUUCUUUGCUACUCAAUUCCUAGAUGGUUUAAAACCUGAAAUUAAAUAUGGAGUCGCGCUCCACCGGCCUCAAGAACUCGGUACUGCCUUUUCUCUCGCUCUAUUGCAGGAGGAGUUGCUGGGGCACCUACCGCGGAAGGAACUAGCGCCAGGCCGGCACGGGCAUCGGCCGAUGGUGGUUUUGGGAGCACCACUACCACCACCCAGACCAGUGCAGCCGGCUGUUCCCGCGACUGCGGAUGACCGUCGGGCGCUCGAGGCAGCAUGA
rnacentral:rRNA from 1 species